AGGAGGAGAUAUAGGGAGAGGUUAUAUGAAGUAAUAGUAGGAGAUAUAGGGAGAAGUUAUAUGGAGUAAUAGGAGGAGAUAUAGGGAGAGGUUAUAUGGAGU